rnacentral:rRNA from 1 species
CCUACGGGUGGCAGCAGUGGGGAAUAUUGCACAAUGGGGGAAACCCUGAUGCAGCGACGCCGCGUGAGCGAUGAAGUAUUUCGGGAUGUAAAGCUCUAUCAGCAGGGAAGAAAAUGACGGUACCUGACUGAGUAUCCACGGCUAACUACGGGCCAGCAGCCGCGGUAAUACGUAGGGGGCAAGCGUUAUCCGGAUUUACUGGGCGUAAGGGGGACGUAGGCGGUCUUGCAAGCCAGUAGUGAAAGCCCGGUGCUCAACCCUGGUACUGCGUGUGGAACUAUAAGGCUAGAGUGUCGGAGAGGAAGGCAGAAUUCCUGGUGUAGCGGUGAAAUGCGUAGAUAUCAGGAGGAAUACCAGUGGCGAAGGCGGCCUGCUGGCCGAUGACUGACGUUGAGGCUCGAAAGCGUGGGGAGCAAACAGGAUUAGAUACCCUAGUAGUC